rnacentral:rRNA from 1 species
UACGGGGGGAGCAAGCGUUGUUCGGAUUUACUGGGCGUAAAGGGCGCGUAGGCGGCGCAACAAGUCACUUGUGAAAUCUCCGGGCUUAACCCGGAGCGAUCAAGUGAUACUGUCGUGCUAGAGUGCGGAAGGGGCUACUGGAAUUCUCGGUGUAGCGGUGAAAUGCGUAGAUAUCGAGAGGAACACCUGCGGCGAAGGCGGGUAGCUGGGCCGACACUGACGCUGAUGCGCGAAAGCCAGGGGAGCGAACGGG